rnacentral:rRNA from 1 species
UACGAAGGGGGCUAGCGUUGCUCGGAAUUACUGGGCGUAAAGGGCGCGUAGGCGGAUAUUUAAGUUGGGGGUGAAAUCCCGGGGCUCAACCUCGGAAUUGCCUUCAAAACUGGAUAUCUUGAGUUCGGGAGAGGUGAGUGGAACUCCGAGUGUAGAGGUGAAAUUCGUAGAUAUUCGGAAGAACACCAGUGGCGAAGGCGGCUCACUGGCCCGAUACUGACGCUGAGGUGCGAAAGCGUGGGGAGCAAACAGG